CGUUACACACCGCCCGUCCACACCAUGGAGUUGGUUCUACCUGAAGACGGCGCGCUAACCGCAAGGAGGCAGCCGGCCACGGUAGGGUCAGCGACUGGGGUG
rnacentral:rRNA from 1 species